GACGAACGCUGGCGGCGUGCUUAACACAUGCAAGUCGAACGGUGAACCUCUUCGGAGGGGAUCAGUGACGAACGGGUGAGUAACACGUGGGCAACCUGCCCCCGGCUCUGGGAUAACUCCAAGAAAUUGGGGCUAAUACCGGAUGUUCACCGCUUCCCGCAUGGGUGGUGGUGGAAAGGGUUUCCGGCUGGGGAUGGGCCCGCGGCCUAUCAGCUUGUUGGUGGGGUAGUGGCCUACCAAGGCGACGACGGGUAGCCGGCCUGAGAGGGUGACCGGCCACACUGGGACUGAGACACGGCCCAGACUCCUACGGGAGGCAGCAGUGGGGAAUAUUGCGCAAUGGGCGGAAGCCUGACGCAGCGACGCCGCGUGGGGGAUGACGGCCUUCGGGUUGUAAACCUCUUUCAGCAGGGACGAAGCGCAAGUGACGGUACCUGCAGAGGAAGCACCGGCCAACUACGUG
rnacentral:rRNA from 1 species